GUAGGGUGCAAGCGUUGUCCGGAUUCAUUGGGCGUAAAGAGCUCGUAGGCGGCUUGCUAAGUCAGGUGUGAAACCUCCAGGCUCAACCUGGAGCCGCCACCUGAUACUGGUAUGGCUGGAGUCCGGUAGGGGACCACGGAAUUCCUGGUGUAGCGGUGAAAUGCGCAGAUAUCAGGAGGAACACCGGUGGCGAAGGCGGUGGUCUGGGCCGGCACUGACGCUGAGGAGCGAAAGCGUGGGGAGCGAACAGGAUUAGAUACCCUGGUAGUCCACGCCGUAAACGUUGGGCACUAGGUGUGGCGGGUAUCGAUCCCUGCCGUGCCGAAGCUAACGCAUUAAGCACUCCGCCUGGGGAGUACGGUCGCAAGGCUG
rnacentral:rRNA from 1 species